rnacentral:rRNA from 1 species
UUAACACAUGCAAGUCGAACGAUGAACCUCACUUGUGGGGGGAUUAGUGGCGAACGGGUGAGUAACACGUGAGUAACCUGCCCUUAACUCUGGGAUAAGCCUGGGAAACUGGGUCUAAUACCGGAUAUGACUCCUCAUCGCAUGGUGGGGGGUGGAAAGCUUUUUGUGGUUUUGGAUGGACUCGCGGCCUAUCAGCUUGUUGGUGAGGUAAUGGCUCACCAAGGCGACGACGGGUAGCCGGCCUGAGAGGGUGACCGGCCACACUGGGACUGAGACACGGCCCAGACUCCUACGGGAGGCAGCAGUGGGGAAUAUUGCACAAUGGGCGCAAGCCUGAUGCAGCGACGCCGCGUGAGGGAUGACGGCCUUCGGGUUGUAAACCUCUUUCAGUAGGGAAGAAGCGAAAGUGACGGUACCUGCAGAAGAAGCGCCGGCUAACUACGUGCCAGCAGCCGCGGUAAUACGUAGGGCGCAAGCGUUAUCCGGAAUUAUUGGGCGUAAAGAGCUCGUAGGCGGUUUGUCGCGUCUGCCGUGAAAGUCCGGGGCUCAACUCCGGAUCUGCGGUGGGUACGGGCAGACUAGAGUGAUGUAGGGGAGACUGGAAUUCCUGGUGUAGCGGUGAAAUGCGCAGAUAUCAGGAGGAACACCGAUGGCGAAGGCAGGUCUCUGGGCAUUAACUGACGCUGAGGAGCGAAAGCAUGGGGAGCGAACAGGAUUAGAUACCCUGGUAGUCCAUGCCGUAAACGUUGGGCACUAGG